rnacentral:rRNA from 1 species
AACAAACGCUGGCGGCGUGCCUAAUACAUGCAAGUCGAACGGGGAAAGCUUUCGGGUGAGUACUAGUGGCGCACGGGUGAGUAACGCGUGGAUAAUCUGCCUUAGAGUGGGGGAUAACCAGUCGAAAGAUUGGCUAAUACCGCAUAAGACCACAAGAGCUGCGGCUCAAGGGGUCAAAGGUUUUUCGCUUUAAGAUGAGUCCGCGUAAGAUUAGCUAGUUGGUAGGGUAAUGGCCUACCAAGGCGACGAUCUUUAACUGGUCUGAGAGGAUGAUCAGUCACACUGGAACUGAGACACGGUCCAGACUCCUACGGGAGGCAGCAGUAGGGAAUAUUGCACAAUGGAGGAAACUCUGAUGCAGCGACGCCGCGUGAGUGAUGAAGGCCUUCGGGUCGUAAAGCUCUGUCGCAGGGGAAUAACACAAUGAAUGUACCCUGUAAGAAAGGAUCGGCUAACUUCGUGCCAGCAGCCGCCGUAAUAC